rnacentral:rRNA from 1 species
UGGGGAAUAUUGCACAAUGGGCGCAAGCCUGAUGCAGCCAUGCCGCGUGUAUGAAGAAGGCCUUCGGGUUGUAAAGUACUUUCAGAGGGGAGGAAGGCGAUGUGGUUAAUAACCGCGUCGAUUGACGUUACCCGCAGAAGAAGCACCGGCUAACUCCGUGCCAGCAGCCGCGGUAAUACGGAGGGUGCAAGCGUUAAUCGGAAUUACUGGGCGUAAAGCGCACGCAGGCGGUCUGUCAAGUCGGAUGUGAAAUCCCCGGGCUCAACCUGGGAACUGCAUCCGAAACUGGCAGGCUUGAGUCUCGUAGAGGGGGGUAGAAUUCCAGGUGUAGCGGUGAAAUGCGUAGAGAUCUGGAGGAAUACUGGUGGCGAAGGCGGCCCCCUGGACGAAGACUGACGCUCAGGUGCGAAAGCGUGGGGAGCAAACA